GACGAACGCUGGCGGCGUGCUUAACACGUGCAAGUCGAACGAUGAAGCCGGAGCUUGCUCUGGUGAAUUAGUGGCGAACGGGUGAGUAACACGUGAGUAACCUGCCCUUGACUCUGGGAUAACUGCUAGAAAUGGUAGCUAAUACCGGAUACGACCCUCGGCGGCAUCGCCAGGGGGUGGAAAGAAUUUCGGUCAAGGAUGGACUCGCGGCCUAUCAGCUAGUUGGUGAGGUAACGGCUCACCAAGGCGACGACGGGUAGCCGGCCUGAGAGGGUGACCGGCCACACUGGGACUGAGACACGGCCCAGACUCCUACGGGAGGCAGCAGUGGGGAAUAUUGGGCAAUGGAGGAAACUCUGACCCAGCGACGCCGCGUGAGGGAUGAAGGCCUUCGGGUUGUAAACCUCUUUCAGUAGGGAAGAAGCGAAAGUGACGGUACCUACAGAAGAAGCACCGGCUAACUAUGUGCCAGCCGCCGCCGUAA
rnacentral:rRNA from 1 species